AUUGAACGCUGGCGGCAGGCUUUACACAUGCAAGUCGAACGAGUGGCGGACGGGUGAGUAAUGCUUGGGAAUCUAGCUUAUGGCGGGGGAUAACUACUGGAAACUGUUGCUAAUACCGCGUACUAUAGGAUGGGCACAAGUGGGAUUAGGUAGUUGGUGAGGUAAAGGCUCACCAAGCCGACGAUCUGUAGCUGGUUUGAGAGGAUGACCAGCCACACUGGGACUGAGACACGGCCCAGACUCCUACGGGAGGCAGCAGUGGGGAAUAGUGCACAAUGGGAGCAAGCCUGAUCCAGCCAUGCCGCGUGUAUGAUGAAGGCCUUAGGGUUGUAAAGUACUUUCAGCGGGGAGGCGUUACCCGCAGAAGAAGCACCGGCUAACUCCGUGCCAGCAGCCGCGGUAAUUC
rnacentral:rRNA from 1 species